AUUGAACGCUGGCGGCAUGCCUUACACAUGCAAGUCGAACGGCAGCGGACCUUCGGGUGCCGGCGAGUGGCGAACGGGUGAGUAAUAUAUCGGAACGUACCUUUCAGUGGGGGAUAACGUAGCGAAAGUUACGCUAAUACCGCAUAUUCUGUGAGCAGGAAAGCAGGGGAUCGCAAGACCUUGCGCUGAUUGAGCGGCCGAUAUCAGAUUAGCUAGUUGGUGAGGUAAAGGCUCACCAAGGCGACGAUCUGUAGCGGGUCUGAGAGGAUGAUCCGCCAUACUGGAACUGAGACACGGUCCAGACUCCUACGGGAGGCAGCAGUGGGGAAUUUUGGACAAUGGGCGCAAGCCUGAUCCAGCCAUGCCGCGUGAGUGAAGAAGGCC
rnacentral:rRNA from 1 species